UAUAUGAUCAUUUUGAGCUUGUCGACUCCA
rnacentral:piRNA from 1 species